GGUGGCGGGGAAGGGUUGACACAGGGAAUAGUGAAGAAUGUUCUUGUUACUAAAGUUGAACACAGCUCCAGAUCUGAGCUCUGGAACCCUCUUGGAAGAGAGGAUGAUAACUGCUUCUUUUUUCUUUUAAACAUGUCCUCAGACUAUUCUACGGAUCGUGGUACUGGGGAUCUGGGAUUACAUCGAAAACAAAAUAGAGGUGUUCGAUGGGGCUGUGAUCAUCCUGUCCUUGGCCCCGAUGGUGGCGUCCACUGUGGCUAACGGACCCAGGAGCCCCUGGGAUGCCAUCAGUCUCAUUAUCAUGUUCCGAAUCUG
rnacentral:lncRNA from 1 species